GAAAACCAAAAGUGGAGUUCCAUUAUAUUUGGCCUGAGGAUUUUGAAGGAAGAACUAUUCUUGGAGGAGAUCACAGUCCUGCCACUGAUGACAUGUCAUGGAUGACACCUAGGAGCCAUUUUGGCUGGGAUUAACAGAGAAAUGUUGACGUAGAACAAAGAGGAACAACAACAAAUCCUUAGGAAAAAUAGAACUAAUUCUAUUUUAGUGCACACUUCACGAAAAGACAAAAGAAACUAAGAGUUUUAAUUAGUAUAGAUUUGUUUGUUGUCACCAAAAAUUUCAGUAUAUAUGUCAGUAUAUCCAAGCUGUUGUUGUAUUCAUUAAUCCAUUGCUCUAUCGAUU
rnacentral:misc_RNA from 1 species